rnacentral:rRNA from 1 species
AGGAUGAACGCUGGCGGCGUGCUUAACACAUGCAAGUCGAACGAUGAAGGCUGGAGCUUGCUCUGGCUGGAUUAGUGGCGAACGGGUGAGUAACACGUGAGUAACCUGCCCCUGACUCUGGGAUAAGCGCUGGAAACGGCGUCUAAUACCGGAUACGAGCUUCCACCGCAUGGUGAGGAGCUGGAAAGAAUUUCGGUCUGGGAUGGACUCGCGGCCUAUCAGCUUGUUGGUGAGGUAAUGGCUCACCAAGGCGACGACGGGUAGCCGGCCUGAGAGGGUGA